GUCGAACGUUGUUUUAGGGGAGCUGGGCAGAAGGAAAAGAGGCUCCUAGCUAAAGGUAGCUUGUCUCGCCCAGGAGGUGGGAACAGUUUAGAACAAAGUGGC
rnacentral:rRNA from 1 species